AUGGGGACGGGGUGGCGGAGGGCGCUGUGCACGUCGGUGAGCCGGGACGACAGCAGCGACGGCGGCGGCAGCGGCAGCGCCAAGCGCCGCCCGCCGCCCGCGCGCGGCGACGCGCCGGCGACCCCGCGGAAGCUGGCCUUCUUCUCCGGCAUGGGCGGCGGUGGCGGCGGCAACCCGUCGGCCCCCGCGCUGCGGUGCCGCACGAAGCCGACGGCGGAGCCGGAGAGCGUGGCGCCCGUGAUGCCGCCGCAGCCGGCGUCGGCGCCGGUGUCGGCCAGGAAGCGGGUGCCGCUGCUGCAGGCCAUCUCCGCGCCGUCCUCGCCCAGAUCCCCCUCCAGAUUCGCGCUCUUCAAGGCCUCCAUCCUCCCCACCAAGGCACGGUGCGGCGUGUGCACGCGGGGCGUCAAGAACGGCGGCGGGGCGGCGGUGUUCACGGCGGAGUGCUCCCACUCCUUCCACUUCCCCUGCAUCGCGGCGCGCGCGCGCGGGGCCGCCUCCGGCGCGCUCUGCUGCCCGGUCUGCUCCGCGCCGUGGCGCCAGGCGCCGUUCCUCGCGUCGCUCCGCCUCCACCUCGACGUCGACGGCUCCCCGCACCGCAAGCGCAGGACCUCCGACGACUCCCGCAAGGCAGCGCCGCCGCCGCAGACCAAGGCGGCCGGCGUGCCCAAGGUGUACGACGACGACGAGCCGCUCCUGGCGCCCAAGUCCGCCGCCAACGGCAGCGGGUUCAACCCGAUCCCGGAGGCGGACGAGGACGAGGGCGAGGGCGAGGGCGAGGAGGCCGGCCGGGAGGGCGAGUUCCGGGGCUUCUUCCCGCACCCGCCGCGGGCGCGGACCGGGCUGGCGGUGACCGUGGCGCCGGAGGCCGCGCUGGUGUCGUCCGGCCGGCGGCACGGCAAGUACGUGGUGGUGGUGAAGGUGAAGGCGCCGGGGCUGCGGUCGUCGGCGUCCCGGCGCGCGCCCAUCGACCUGGUGACGGUGCUGGACGUGAGCCAGGGCAUGAUGGGGGAGAAGCUGCAGAUGCUGAAGCGCGGGAUGCGGCUGGUGAUCGCGUCGCUCGGCCCCGCCGACCGGCUCUCCGUCGUCGCCUUCUCCGGCGCCGCCAAGCGGCUCAUGCCGCUGCGGCGGAUGUCGCGGCAGGGGCAGCGGUCGGCGCGGCAGAUCGUGGACCGCCUCGUGGUGUGCGCCGCCGCGCAGGGGCAGGAGCAGGCGCAGAGCGCGUGCGCCGGCGACGCGCUGCGCAAGGCCACCAAGGUCCUCGAGGACCGCCGCGACCGCAACCCCGUCGCCACCGUCAUGCUCCUCUCCGACACGCAGCAGCAGCAGGACGCGAGGAAGCACGGCGAUCACCACCACUCCCUGCGCCGCCCGCAGGCGGCUCCGGCGGCGGCCACGCGGUUCACCCACGUGGAGAUCCCCAUUGCCGGGCCGGCCGACGACGCGCCGGCGCGGUCGCCGCUCGCGCCCAAGGAGGAGCACCUGGAGUCGAGCGCCCCCGCGGAGCACGCCUUCGCGAAAUGCCUGGGCGGUCUCGUGAGCGUGGUCAUGCAGGAGGUGCACCUGGAGCUCGCCUUCCCGACGGGCGAGAUCACGGCGGUGUACUCCUGCGGCGCCGGGCAGCAUGCCGUGGCCCUGGCGGGCGGCGCCGGCGGCAACGGCGGGUCGGCGCUGAGCGUGCGGCUGGGCGAGAUGUACGCGGAGGAGGAGCGGGAGCUGCUGGUGGAGCUGCGGGCGCCGCUGGGCGCGCACCCGCACUCGCUGUCCGUCCGGUGCGCCUACCGCGACCCGGCGUCGCAGGAGACGGUACGCGGCGCCGAGCAGCCGCUGCUCCUGCCCCCGCUCCACGACGGCGGCGGCGGCGGGAGCUCCACGUCCUCGCAGCAGCGCCUGCACGACCUGUUCGUGGCGACGCGCGCCGUGGCGGAGUCGCGGCGUCUGGCGGAGCUGAGCGACUUCUCGACGGCCACGCACCUGCUGUCGUCGGCGCGGCGGCUGGUGCUGCAGUCCCCGCCGACGCAGCAGCAGCAGGACCUGCUGGGCGGGCUGGACACGGAGCUGAGCGACAUGCGGUGGCGGCGCGGCCAGCAGCAGCCACCAACGCCAACAUCCCGGUCGGCAACGCCGUCGGGCACGCCACGAGCGUCGUCGGGCGGCGGAGGGGGAGCAGGGGGCGAGCCGCUGACGCCGACGUCGGCGUGGCGCGCGGCGGAGCAGCUGGCGAAGGUGGCCAUCAUGCGCAAGUCCAUGAACCGGGUGAGCGACCUGCACGGCUUCGAGAACGCGCGCUUCUGA
rnacentral:rRNA from 1 species